rnacentral:lncRNA from 1 species
CUCUAACCCUGGCAGAGGAGCCUGGACGUCGCGACUGUCAGCCCUGGCUUUCUCCCACAGGAGUUUUCAUACUCCAGCUUUUUGGUGAUCAGCGCAGUGAAGUGGCUGCGCGGCAUCUGCACCCCAGCCUUCCCCUGAUGCACCCGAGGGAGGGGUUCCUGGCUUCACCCACUAGGAGGUGGGUGUGGGCAUGGAGCGUUUUAGCAGGCUGGGGAGGGCAGCAAAGCUUCCAGGAAGAAGCAGUGUUCAGACAGGGCCGCGCCCAACCCCGACAGAGGACCAGGGAGCUACCAGUUCUCAGAUGGAGCUGGUGGGCUAAAAAGGUCUGAUGUGACCCACAGGUGUCCUUCAACCUGGCCGGGGCCCUGCUGCCCUUGUCCCCUUGUCACCAGGGCCAGGUCAGCAGGUAAAGGGUGUGCCCUGCCCUGAGGCAAGGGCAGCCGAGGUUUUCAUCAGGGUGUUGUGAGCAGGGCUGAGCCGCGGGGGAAACCGCAGACCCAGGUCCUCCCUCCUCUCCAAGCCACUGUUCCUCACCCACUAGUGGCGACCGGCGGCUGCUUCCUUCCGGGUUGAUGAAAAGGUUGCAUGAGUCAUGAGGAGCUUAUCUAGAGAGGCCAGCGGCAGGCAAGCCCUCCACAGAGAUGGGGACUGCCCUGGGCACCAGCUUGUGAUGGGGGCCGCGGUCCACAGCGAUGGGUGGUGCCGGCUGGUGACACGGCAUAGAGGGGCAGCGACCAACAAGGUGUGGCCUAUGCUUGAGGCCCAGGUACACAAGGCGUGGGGAGGGAGAAGGCCCUUCUCACUACCACCCCCACGCUUGGCUGACAAAACCCGUGCUUCCCAUCCCCCCAGCUUUGGGCUCUGCCGCAUCAGAGAUGUUCGGUCCCCAGGUGGGAUGCUUUUGCUUAGGAACACAAUCGGGUCUCACUGGGAGGGUGGCUCAGACACGGCCCAGCCACGGAAGCAUGAGACAACACAGGGCUGGCUCUGGCAGGUGGGCAUGAGGCUUUGUGAGGCUUGGGGGCCAGGAAGAGUGGUGCCUCCUACUUCUCUCUGGUGGUGCAGUACAGGUAACGGAGGCCACAGCACCUGUGUGGGCAGCCAUGCAGGGCCUGGGGCCUUAAAAAUGAAGGAUCGAGUCAUGCCACCAGGUGAAGGCCAUAAGCAGCUUAGGCACUGGCUGAGGGUAGAACAUGGAACGAGUAUUGGAAAAGGCAGAUAAGCACCAACCACAGUAUUUUACUCAUUGACGCAUACAGAAUGUAAAUACGCGUAGUUGUAUAUAUUAACCAAUGACUACGUUAUCUGUGAUUCACAUGUAUUACACACAUUUUCCUUUUCUUUCCCCACUCCUAUUUAAGGAGUGUUGAUUCUAGGAUAGUCUUUAGGCCACAGGAUGUCCAGGAGAGGUGGUGUCUGAACUAGAGAAGGAAUCAACAUGCUUGGAUGCCUCCAGUGGUGGCUUAUGGGGUUCCACCCUCACACGGCGGGAGAGGCAGCACCUUGUUGGCUUGACAGUAGCUAUGUGACCUUAAGUUGGGGUGCAAUGUUGGUGAAACAGAGAUCAAAGUAGGAGAGGGGUGCAGAUGCUGGAGGCCUCCCGGGUUCCCUCACCAGGCCGUCUGUCAGCACAGCCUCCUUCUCCCCUGCCUGUCACAGGAGGGGCUUCCCAUGUUCGGUGCCCAGAUGAGACCAGUGAGAGGUCUGGGAGGUGGGAGGAAGGAGAUGUACUGUGGCUUCAGCAGCUGGUGGGCAGGAGGCUCUGCUGGCAGCUCCAGGUGCCCUCCACAGCCAGGACAUCAGGCAGUGGGGAUCUGGGUGGCAGGUCCCUGUGACUCCCCUAUGUCUCCUCUCCUGUCCUUGGCUCCCCAGCCUUCUUCUCCCUGCAUUCAGUUUCUUUCUGCCCAGUUCCUUAAGUGGUUUAGAUUUUCCUGACCAAGGCUUGUUUAAUAAGCUGAGCUGACCAGAGGGAGAGGACGGAGCAGAUGGUGGUGCAGGGGUCCAUGUGGUCUGAUGCGCAGACCCUUGCCCCACCAGCAAGAGGGGACAGAGACCCUCUGGAGCUGCAUUUCCGGAAGAUGGGGCUUAACUGGGAAAAAUGAAAACUCAGUGUGGAGGCGAGUGCACUGGGCGGCCGUGGUGCCGUGGGACCAUGGACCUCAGAGGGCACUGGUGGCAGGACCGCAGAGCGGGCCCUUCAGGCCACUUCAGGGCCACUGAGGUGGAGGAUUCUCUUGUGAAGAAAGCAGUAGGAAGGAUGGAAAACCAUACUUCCUAGACAGGCAUCUGGAGCAGUUUCAGUUUUGAUUGCUGUUAUUACUACUGAUAACUGAGCAAAAGUGGUGAUGAUGCUUGAGAGAAAUUUCUGCAACCCACAGUCAGCAAUUAUAUGUACAGCCAAGUACAGCGUGUGCUCAUUUCUCCCUCGAUUUUUGAAUCUGCAGUUUACCAAAGCUGCCA